UCCAGAAUCUGUCACUUUCUGCACGCUGUC
rnacentral:piRNA from 1 species